AGAGGCCCUCCGCGGCUGGGGUGGAACGCUUGCCUCAUUGCCGCGGCGAUGAAGCAAGCAUUCUGCCAGGCCGCUCACACUGCCCGC
rfam:Myotis lucifugus cont2.31766, whole genome shotgun sequence.